GAUGAACGCUGGCGGCGUGCCUAAUACAUGCAAGUCGAGCGGACGGACGAGAAGCUUGCUUCUCUGAUGUUAGCGGCGGACGGGUGAGUAACACGUGGAUAACCUACCUAUAAGACUGGGAUAACUUCGGGAAACCGGAGCUAAUACUGGAUGAUAUUUUGAACCGCAUGGUUCAAAAGUGAAAGACGGUCUUGCUGUCACUUAUAGAUGGAUCCGCGCUGCAUUAGCUAGUUGGUAAGGUAACGGCUUACCAAGGCAACGAUGCAUAGCCGACCUGAGAGGGUGAUCGGCCACACUGGAACUGAGACACGGUCCAGACUCCUACGGGAGGCAGCAGUAGGGAAUCUUCCGCAAUGGGCGAAAGCCUGACGGAGCAACGCCGCGUGAGUGAUGAAGGUCUUCGGAUCGUAAAACUCUGUUAUUAGGGAAGAACAUAUGUGUAAGUAACUGUGCACAUCUUGACGGUACCUAAUCAGAAAGCCACGGCUAACUACGUG
rnacentral:rRNA from 1 species